UUUUGUAUUUAUUUAUACAUUUAUUUUUUUAAAUGUCCUCCAGUUCUGCUAGGGCAACAUAUAGAGCCAGGCACUGUAGCUGCCGUGAAUUACAUUUCCCAUGAUGCCUAGCUAAUAUUUUAUAAUCAGAAAAAAGAAAAUCAGUUACAGUUGCAAAUACUGUUUAAGUGAAAUACUGUUUUAAGUGUCCCUGUAAACGAAACACUAUGCAGUGUGUAACCCAGUGGCACUCAGUGAGUUAACUUCUUUUGGCUGGUAUAUUAGAAUGAAUCACUUUCUCAGAUAAAAUUAUUGCUUUCCAUUUAUUCUUUUGUUGUUUCAACCAUGAUGAAGGAUUUUUUUUUUUUUUUUUUUUGCAAGAGGCUUUGAUCUAAGUCCCCCAGGGUUUUAUAGUAUUGUAGGUCCAGUUGUAUCUAAAGGAUGUCUUGAAUGGAUUUCACUAUUGUCUACGUGGGUCAUUUUGUAGAGCAGUUUAUUCAAAUACCCCCUUGGAAAAUGGUAAUAGCGCUUAGAAAACAUGUCUGAUUGAUGAGAAGAAUAUUCACUGCAGAGUGAUUGCUGUCAAUCCCUGUCUAGUUACCCAGUCACAUAGAUAAUUAGCCCAACAUCAACUUCUGCACCUCUUUACACAUUUAACAUCUGUAAUAAUACAAGAUUUACAAAACGGAAAUAAUUGUUUUCAAAAGUCUCUCUGAACCACCAAGUAUUUAUUUUUAGUUUAUUGUUAAAAUGGUUGUGUCUGAGUGCUGUUCGCCUUUAAAUUAUAUUUUACACUUACAUGUGAAAACUGAAAAUUCAAGUGUGUCAGUUAAUUUCUGUCCUUAUUUAUAGCGUUUUGCUUGUUUUGUUUUUAAACUAUACACAAACAAUGAAAAUAAAUAAGUGUUUACAAAGAUAAUCCUGCUCUUUCUUCUAACAUCCUAUAUAUAAUACAAGAAACAGUCUUACUCUUAUAUAAAACAUCUUUAGAACAUUUAUACAUUUUAGCUUGUUAUUAAUAUUUAUUAAUAAUAAUAAUAAUAAUAAUAGUUAUAAUUCAAAUAAUACAAACUAGACAGAUCUCAUCAGUUAAAGGUCUCUUUUCAGAGAAUCAGAAUCUGAUCACAUCAUGGUAUAGUGGGAAGUGGACAGAGUAAGACUUCUUUUCAGAAUUACACACAAAAAAACUUCCCUGGUGUUGUAGGGUUAAAUUAAAGGAAACAUGCUUUCUCCCGCCCUACAUGUGUCUGAAUAUUGGGAUAGACUGAAAAGAUGUGGUCCAUAUGUAUCAUAUAACACAAAUAUGC